CCCAGUUCUUCCUUCCCGAGCCGGACGCCGCCGCACCGCCCGCGCACCCGACGCCGAGCCGGAUCGAGCUCGUGCGCCCUGGUUGAUUCCGUGCGCUCCAGGGACACCAAACGCGAACAAAAACCCUAGGGAAACCCCACACCCCCUGUCCCGAUCUUCCCCGUUGUCGCACGCCUUGGUCGGGGCGAUUGGAUCUCGUCAGGAGCUCCGCCGACCGCCGCCGUUUCCCCGGUCGUUUCCCUCACCCCGAGCGAGCCGCCCGAGCUAACCGACGCCGCCGGAGCAGCCGCGGUUCACUUCGUCACCGCCGCCCGCAGGGGACGCCCCGCCGCCGUUGAGCACCACCGCCGCCUCCGCCACUCCCAGUCGCAUCCGCCCGUCACUUCCCCAUCGUCGGAGAGUCGCCGGAGGAGCGCCGCCGCCAACGCCCGAGACCGCCGCCGCCGUCCUCUGUUCUCUGAUUGUCCGGAGUGCGACGCGAGCUAUUGUCAGGAGUGUGACUUUCUGAACCAGAACCAAGGCAAGUUACAUGUUGAUCAUCCUUUACCUAUUGUUUUCUAUGCAUGUAGUUAUAUCACACUAUGAAUAUAUGCAUGUAUAAGAGUAUUAUAUAUUUUGGCUAUGCUGAUGAGCUAUCUUCCCGUCUUUGCAAAUCGUGGUAGUGGUAGGUUGCUAUGCUUUGUAGACGGGGGUGGUUCGUGUAUUCAUUGAGUUUAUG